UGCCUGUCAACCACUGGUCCUCAGC
rnacentral:piRNA from 1 species